AUUGAACGCUGGCGGCAUGCCUUACACAUGCAAGUCGAACGGUAACAGGUCUUCGGAUGCUGACGAGUGGCGAACGGGUGAGUAAUACAUCGGAACGUGCCUAGUAGUGGGGGAUAACUACUCGAAAGAGUGGCUAAUACCGCAUGAGAUCUACGGAUGAAAGCAGGGGAUCGCAAGACCUUGCGCUACUAGAGCGGCCGAUGGCAGAUUAGGUAGUUGGUGGGAUAAAAGCUUACCAAGCCGACGAUCUGUAGCUGGUCUGAGAGGACGAUCAGCCGCACUGGGACUGAGACACGGCCCAGACGCGUACGGGAGGCAGCAGUGGGGAAUUUUGGACAAUGGGCGCAAGCCUGAUCCAGCAAUGCCGCGUGCAGGAUGAAGGCCUUCGGGUUGUAAACUGCUUUUGUACGGAACGAAAAGCCCUGGGUUAAUACCCUGGGGUCAUGACGGUACCGUAAGAAUAAGCACCGGCUAACUACGUGCCAGCCGCCGCUGUAAGAC
rnacentral:rRNA from 1 species